CAAAUCCUUUCUCUCUGAACCACGGAGGCCACUUUUCCUUCCUUGCACUCCUACUAAAAUACUGAUAUCCUCUGUAUAUUGUGGAAGAGCUGGAGAAGAGACCUUUAGUAGGCAGCUGAAAAACUCUAAGAGAAAAGGAAAACAGAAAGGGUCCUAAGAGCUAAUUGACCAAAGCCAUGGAAAACAAAAUGAGGUCACUCAUAGCACAGACACUUUGUGCCUGGGCCCUGUUUGCACCUAACAUCGGUAAAACUGUCUUUUCUUAAAAGAUGCAAGUAUUGGGAAGUGGCAAAGAAGACCUUCGAAGGCUUAGGUAAGAAGUCCUCAUUUCAUAUAAGAACUCACAUCCUUUCCUGUGAAAU
rnacentral:lncRNA from 1 species